GUGCAGAGAUCUGAAAGCAGUGAUCACCACAAGCUUAGAAACUAGAGUACAAAUCUAUUCCCUAGCCUUAAUGAAUUUUAUUUUCUGAAAAAGUAUACUAUCAGAGCACAAGCAAAUAGAUACCACCUUCAUAAAGUAUGAAUUAAAAAUUUAGAUUUUAGAACUGGAUAAAGAUAUUAAUCUCCCUUAUGAGAAACAAUAUGAUUAGAAAAGAUGAACAGUAAGAAGAAUCAGAAGUGAAAAUAAACUGUGCCUUUUCAUGGGUGAAAGUCAGAAAACAGCCAAGUACUGUGGAUAUAUAUUCACAUGCAUAUAUAUGAAUGUAUGUUUAUCACCCACACCUAUGUUUGCACAUAAGGUUUAUAGAAUAUGCUCAGGCAAUUACAUAAGGUAGAUAACUUUGUUAAUGGGUAUCUGAUAUAUAUUAGUACAAUUUUUGAUUGGUAAUAAUAAAGGAUAGUUCCCUGAUGGAGAUAUUUUUCUGUCCCUUCAGUUUAAUUUAUGAAGAUAUACCUAUCCUCAGUGUUCCUCAGACCUUCUCUGAAAAAUUGUGCUGGAACACAGAUAAGACAGCUUCCUGGCCAAACCACAGGAUGAUCAAUAUUGUCUUUAAAAAGCAUUCUUCAACAGCAAACAGUUUGCAUAAAUGAAAGUUAAGGACACAAGGAACCGAACUGAUUUGAUUUUUUUUGAGAUUUCUUUUUGAUGCUUAAAAUAAAACUUAAUUGGUAUUCUACA
rnacentral:lncRNA from 1 species